UACGAAGGGUGCUAGCGUUGUUCGGAAUCACUGGGCGUAAAGCGCGCGUAGGCGGUUUUUCAAGUCAGAGGUGAAAUCCCUGGGCUCAACCCAGGAAUUGCCUUUGAAACUGUAAAACUUGAGUGUCGGAGGGGAUAGCGGAAUUGCUAAUGUAGAGGUGAAAUUCGUAGAUAUUAGCAGGAACACCGGUGGCGAAGGCGGCUAUCUGGACGACAACUGACGCUGAGGCGCGAAAGCACGGGGAUCAAACAGG
rnacentral:rRNA from 1 species